rnacentral:rRNA from 1 species
UAGGGAAUAUUGCAAAAUGGGCGAAAGCCCGAUGCAGCAACGCCGCGUGGGCGAUGAAGGCCUUCGGGUCGUAAAGCCCUUUUUGAGGGGAUGAGGAAGGACAGUACCCUCAGAAUAAGCCUCGGCUAACUACGUGCCAGCAGCCGCGGUAAAACGUAGGAGGCGAGCGUUAUCCGGAUUUACUGGGCGUAAAGCGCGUGCAGGCGGAUUGGAGAGUUGGAUGUGAAAGCUCCCGGCUUAACUGGGAGAGGUCGUUCAAUACUUCCAGUCUUGAGUGCAGUAGAGGGCAGUGGAAUUCCGGGUGUAGUGGUGAAAUGCGUAGAUAUCCGAAGGAACACCAGUGGCGAAAGCGGCUUCCUGGACUGUAACUGACGCUCAGACGCGAAAGCUAGGGUAGCAAACG